rnacentral:rRNA from 1 species
AUUGAACGCUGGCGGCAUGCCUUACACAUGCAAGUCGAACGGCAGCAUGGGGAGCUUGCUCUCUGAUGGCGAGUGGCGAACGGGUGAGUAAAGCAUCGGAACGUACCGUGUAGUGGGGGAUAACGUAGCGAAAGUUACGCUAAUACCGCAUACGCACUGAGGUGGAAAGCAGGGGAUCGCAAGACCUUGCGCUAUACGAGCGGCCGAUGUCAGAUUAGCUAGUUGGUAGGGUAAAGGCCUACCAAGGCGACGAUCUGUAGCGGGUCUGAGAGGAUGAUCCGCCACACUGGGACUGAGACACGGCCCAGACUCCUACGGGAGGCAGCAGUGGGGAAUUUUGGACAAUGGGGGAAACCCUGAUCCAGCCAUGCCGCGUGAGUGAAGAAGGCCUUCGGGUUGUAAAGCUCUUUCGGCUGGGAAGAAAUCGCACAGGCUAAUACUCUGUGUGGAUGACGGUACCAGCAUAAGAAGCACCGGCUAACUACGUACCAGCAGCCGCAGUAA